AUACUCUUCACUUCUAUCAUUCACAGUGACUGACAUUAACAAUAUAGUGACAAAUAAGAGCAGUAAGGGAAAUUACCAAGAAAGCAAGGAUUUCUUUGUUUGUUUAAUUCUUGUUUUCUUCUUUAAAGUAAGUUUCUUCCCCAAUACUACAUAUUUUCUUCUUCUCUUUUUUGCUAUGUUGCCCUAGCUCUUAGUGUAAAUGGAGGUAUUGUUACUGCUUGUGUUUUCCAAUAUCAAUUCAUAUUUAUAAUUUUCUUCUUGUGUAUAUCAUUACAAAAACAAGUAAUUGUUUAUGUAAACAUCUAACUAUUAGAGUUCUGAAGAAGAACUACAAAGUGUUUUGGUUCUGUUUUGAGAUGAUGGGCAUCAUUUGAAGAUAGCCCUCUGUUUUAGUGAAAGCUUUUGCUCUGACUCGAUUUUUUGGUUAGGCUUAGAUGACUCUUCAUGUUAUAUAAUAGUAAAGUAUUUGAGCACUAUGCUCACUUGCGACCCUAAAUUGUGAAUUUAAACAAAUUUAAAAACCGUAACUUUGUCAGAAUUUAUACUCGAGAUCCUAAUUUGGGAGCAUUCAAUUUCAGUUCAGCUGAUGGCUUUGUGUAUCUAAGGUAGAUUUCUAUAUUUAUGUCUAUAUAUAUAUGCUUACAUUCAUACAUACAUACUACCUAUAAAUGCUCACACAUACAUAGAAAGAGAGAUCGAUUUGGCUCUUCUGUGCUUGAGCUGGACGAUGAAAAGUUAUUGUGAUGCAUCUGCUACACUUGUGGUCUUUGAGCGAAGGUAUGCAUCUCUGGAAAAUUAUGUCGCUGAGCCAAUCAUAAGUUCAACAGAAAAGCAGCCACUCCUUGAAACUCCAGGAGAAAAAACUCAUAUACAGGUAUGCCUUUGAAUAUGGGAGCAAUUACUUUUAGUUGAAAGUGAUGAAGUGCACUUAGGAUCAACUUGAAGUUUCUGCUUGGCUAUGUACUGAACAUAUUUCUACUUGUUGUAUACUGAAUGUACUGAACAUAUU